CUGCACUCUCUCCUUAAUCCCUAUAUAUAUUUACACAAAUGGAGGUCAUUUAGUUGCUCCAAUGGCCAUUGGAGCAACUAAAUGACCUCCAUUUGUCUAAAUAUAUAUAGGGAUUGAGGAGAGAGCACAGGU